rnacentral:rRNA from 1 species
GACGAACGCUGGCGGCGUGCUUAACACAUGCAAGUCGAACGGAACGGCCCUGCUUUUGUGGGGUGCUCGGGGGGCGACGGGGUGAGUAACACGUGGGUACCCUGCCCUUGACUUUGGGAUAACUUCAGGAACGUGGGGCUAAUACGGGAUAGGAGUUCCUGCUGCGGGGUGGGGGUGGGAAAGUUUCGGUGGUUGGGGAUGGACUCGCGGCUCAUCAGCUUGUUGGUUGGGUAGUGGCUGACCAUGGCCUUGACGGGUCGCCGGCCUGGGCGGGUGACCGGCCACACUGGGCCUGGGAUGCGGCCCAGACCCCUCCGGGAGGCAGCGGUGGGGAGUAUUACACAAGGGGCGGGAGCCUGAUGCGGCACCGCCGCGUGCGGUAUGACGGCCUGCGGGUUGUAAACCGCUUUCGCCUUUGACGAAGCGUUAGUGACGGUAAUUUGUAAAGAAGCACCGGCUAACUACGUG